rnacentral:rRNA from 1 species
UACGGAGGGUGCAAGCGUUAAUCGGAAUUACUGGGCGUAAAGCGCACGCAGGCGGUUUGUUAAGUCAGAUGUGAAAUCCCCGCGCUUAACGUGGGAACUGCAUUUGAAACUGGCAAGCUAGAGUCUCGUAGAGGGGGGUAGAAUUCCAGGUGUAGCGGUGAAAUGCGUAGAGAUCCGGAGGAACACCAAAGGCGCAGGCAGGGUCCUGGCUGGUGGCUGACGCUGAGGGGCGAAAGCCAGGGGAGCGAACGGG